UCUGUCUCAGUCUUUAGAGUCUAUGAGAAUGACCAACCCUGAGUCCUCCCUGUCUCUUAUUUAACAUGGAGACCUCAGGGUAGAAAGAUUCCCUUCUAGAGAGCAGUGUGAGUUCUCACCAAAUGGCAAGGCUGGCAAGGUCACACUCUCUGACAUCUGGGAAGCGAAGUGAGGUCGCACGGCCUCAAAGCCAGUGCUACAGAAACCCAGAAUGAGCCACCUUGCAACCUCCAUCUUCUCAGCAGCUCCUCUGUGGCCAACAGUCACAAGGGACCAAGGUAAUCAAGAGUCCUUGGAGCAGGCCAAAUCAUAUCACCAGUUCCCUUGGGCUCUCCGAGGAAUGAAUACACAGUCCAGUGCCCUCCAUGUUGAUUUCUGAACUGAGAGGCUUGUGAGGUGAGUUCCCCAGUCCUACCAUCCAGACCUGCACCGGGGAGACAGGCUUCAGAGCAGAUGUUGAGUGCUCAGCUUUGGAAGGUCUGAUGAUGAUCUCUGCACUGGUCACCUGC